rnacentral:tRNA from 1 species
GGAGCUGUGGCUCAGUGGAAGAGCCUCUGCUUUGCAUGCAGAAGUUUCCAGGUUCAAUCCCUAGCAACUCCA